rnacentral:sRNA from 1 species
GUUAAAUGUGUUUACCUUAAAUAGGCUUACUGUGUUCACUGCCGGACGCCUCUGGGCAAUCUUAUCCUCCUGGGAACUGAGAGAGACAAUGCUAGGAGCUAGAAACAUGAGGAAUACAUGAGCUCGGUGCCAAUGGAACGUGCUUUCACACCGGGUGCAGCUGACUACCACAUCAUACAAAACUCAUCACUGCCGUUUUAGAUGUGUAAUCUGAUUGGCAUGGGCUCACAGAGGAGGGAGUAAGGGAAGAGUAAGAAGAUUUCAAAGGAGAGACACAGGUUGCAGGUUAGCAGGAGAACAGGCAAGCCAAAUGCAAAGGAGCCACUUCAGAAAUGUCACAGAAAAGUGAAAAUGCAGCCUAGUGGUAAAUGAAGAGGGGAAGAAGAAAGAAAAAGGACCAGAACCGUGAACUGAAGGGACGGGGAACAGCCAGAGGAGAGCUUCAGCCAUCACGAGGAUGAUUUCGGAACCUGGAGAAAAUGUGUUCCUGGCUCUAUGCCAAAUGCAUCCUGGACUGGAAACCUCAGAGCUAUAAAGUGGAGUGACAUGGAAGACAGACACGGAGGCUGCCACGGCCACUAUGUACGUGGUAUUUGUAUCUAUGGAAACGGAGACUUAAAGUGGCUGGUUAAUUCACCAAGCCUGUUUGCUAACAAGUUUGAGCUUAAUACCUACCCCCUUACUGUGGAAUGCCUAGAACUGAGGCAUCGCGAAAGAACCCUCAAUCAGAGUGAAACUGCGAUACAACCCAGCUGGUAUUUUUGAACUAUUCGUGAGCUGCUCAUGACUGAAGGGAAACUGCAGCUGGGAAGAGGAGCCUGUUUUUGUGAGAGACUUUUGCCUUCGUAAUGUUAAUGGUUUCAGGACCACGUUUAUAGCUUCAGGACCUGGCUACAUAAUUAUAUUUAAAAUAUCCACUGGACACUGUGAAAUACACUAACAGGAUGGCUGGGUAGAGCAAUCUGGGCACUUCAGCCAAUUUUAGUCUUGCUGUUUCUUGAUGCUCACCUCUAUAUUAGUUUAUUGUUAGGAGCAACGAUAAAUUUAAAUGACCUCAGAUCUUUGCACCAGAUACUCAUCAUAUACAAAUGUUUUAAUAAAAAAGAGAACUAUAGAUAAUACUGUCUAGGAAAAUAAGAAUUAGGUUUCUUUGAAGAAGGAAUCUUUUAUAACACUUAAACAGUCACCGCUGUGCCCAACCAGACAGAUACUGAAACAGCUUUCUGGGUAAUUCACCAAUUUCCUUUAAAACAUAAGCUACCUGAAUGGAGAAUAGAUCUUGUUUCUGAGUUUCAACACUAGCAUUUUUGGCUUACUCAUGGACAAAGUUCUGUAUAUAGUAUAAAGUCAUUAACAAGAAACAGGAUAUGCUUUAAGACAGAAUUCACUGUCUGUUGCUUCAGUAAAAGGACCUCGGGGAAUAGAACAUUUCUCUCUUAUAUGCCAGAAUGUAGGCUGGUACCUAUGUCAUGUCUUCCAUUGAGAACACUAAAAAGUCUUUGCAAGAAUGCAGAUACGCAUUCAAGAGAGGCGCUAUCACAUAGAUCUAGUCUGAAGUCUGGCACACUUCCCUCUUCUAUGACCCCCUUCUCCCCAGUAUCAUCUUACUUGCAAAAUAGAGACCAAAUGCUAUCCUGUGAGGCUUUUAAUUGCACCAUAGUAUGCUCUGAGUAGCUUUACACUGCCUGGUACUGAUAGUAGUGGCUCGAUUUUUAAGAGCCUUCAAUUGUAGAUGAGCAUCUCUGUUAUUUAUCCCUCAUUCAUCCAUCCAUUCAUUCAUUCAGCCUUCAUUCAAUAAACAUCUCUUGAGUGUCUAUUAUGUACAGGACAUGUACUGAGACAAAAAGGAAACAUAAGAGCUUUUUCACUCUAAAAAUCUUGGCAAUAAUGUCAACACCAGAAAGCCUCCUCUGGAGAAUCUUACAGAGUGAUUGUAGUUUAAUACAGGAACGCACAGGGCUGUGUAGCAUGAUACCAGGCCCAGGAGAUCAGUAAUUACAAAUUAAGGGUUAAAUCAGAGAUUAUUCAACAGAGAGGGAGAAAGGAGGAGACAGAGCGAGGACCUGUUUGUUCCAGCCAUUCUGGUAUUCCUUUAUGUAUCUAAUUUCAUUCAAACCUCACAACAGUCUUGUGAGGCCCUUACAUAAUUACUCCAUUUUGCAGAUGAAGUAACUGAGGCUUAGAAAGGUUAAUAGCACCAGGGAACAAUUUCUCUGGGUGAGAAUUGGGACUCUGUUGCUGGUCUUCUCAGUUCAUUUCCUGAGGUGGAUUUACUGACAGAAGGUGAAAUAAAGCCAUAUUUAGUAUACCAGAGAAGGUAGAUUUUAAGAAUGGUCUCAGUGUUAAUAUUGAGAAAAAGUCCUCUCAGCUCAGAAAAAAUGUGAAGUCUACUUUAGUAUUCCUGUAAUACUAAACCGUUGAGUUUCUAAAUAUUUAUUUAUUCUAACAAAAAUCAAUUACUACAAUGGAUGACACAUUUAAUGAACACAAUUUUAUUUUCUUUCUGUAACUGUGCCUGUUGAAUGUCAAUCAUAUUUAAAGGGAAUGACGUUGAAGUAAAACCUUUUUUCUUGCUACUGAAAAAAAUGGAAUUGUUUUGGGUGGUAAAGGGUUAAGGAAUAGGGAAGGCUGGUCACACAAGCAACUCUCGAAGGCCACAUGUGAAAACCUGUCACUUGCACAGGGGCCAGCCCCGCUAAGGUGACCAGACUGGGCUCCAAGCACAAAUUGCCAUUGCUGUAGAUGGGACUGUAUCCCCUCAAAAUUCAUGUGUGGGAGCCUUAACCCUCAACGUGAUGGUAUUUGAGAUGGGGCCUUUGGUAAGGGAAGUUUAGAUGAGGUCACGAGGGUAGGAUCCUCAUGAUGGGAUGAGUCCCCUUAUAAGAGCUCUGGCUUGGGCCGGGCGUGGUGGCUCAUGCCUGUAAUCCCAACACUUUGGGAGGCCAAGGCAGGUGGAUCACUUGAUGCCAGGAGUCCCAGACCAGCCUGUCCAACAUGGUGAAACCCCAUCUCUACUAAAAAUUAUAAAAAUUAGCUGGGCUUGGUGGCAUGUGCCUGUAAUCCCAGCUAUUUGGCAGGCUGAGGGAUAAGAAUCGCUUGAACCCAGGAGGUGGAGGUUGCAGUGAGCUGAGAGCACCCCACUGCACUCCAGCCUAGGUGACAGAGCGAGACUUUGUCUCAAAACAAAAUAGGUGGGGGGGUAGGGAAUGCACUCAGGGUCAGCAGUGGAGUUUAAAAAUUGUCUCUUUUCAACUUAUUUAAAUGACAGCACCUGAGAAGAAGAAACGUUUUACACUGGAUGUUCCUCAUGUAGAACGAGAAAUCUUUCUGGAAUUGAUGUUUACAUGUCCGUUGUUGGUCAUCUCUCCUAUGUCUUAAAUACUUUAAUGUUGGAAGAGCAUAGUGUUUGGGCUAGUGGGUUUCUGACAGCCCAUAGGAAUGCCCUGAAACUACUGUAUCUGAUGUUUGUUUUCGAUGAGGUUCCAUGUUUUGUUUUCUUGGGAAUAAAUUAAUAUAUUGUUUUCC